UUGAACGCUGGCGGCAGGCCUAACACAUGCAAGUCGAACGGUAACAGGAAGAAGCUUGCUUCUUUGCUGACGAGUGGCGGACGGGUGAGUAAUGUCUGGGAAACUGCCUGAUGGAGGGGGAUAACUACUGGAAACGGUAGCUAAUACCGCAUAACGUCGCAAGACCAAAGAGGGGGACCUUCGGGCCUCUUGCCAUCGGAUGUGCCCAGAUGGGAUUAGCUAGUAGGUGGGGUAACGGCUCACCUAGGCGACGAUCCCUAGCUGGUCUGAGAGGAUGACCAGCCACACUGGAACUGAGACACGGUCCAGACUCCUACGGGAGGCAGCAGUGGGGAAUAUUGCACAAUGGGCGCAAGCCUGAUGCAGCCAUGCCGCGUGUAUGAAGAAGGCCUUCGGGUUGUAAAGUACUUUCAGCGGGGAGGAAGGGAGUAAAGUUAAUACCUUUGCUCAUUGACGUUACCCGCAGAAGAAGCACCGGCUAACUCCGUGCCAGCAGCCGCGGUAAUACGGAGGGUGCAAGCGUUAAUCGGAAUUACUGGGCGUAAAGCGCACGCAGGCGGUUUGUUAAGUCAGAUGUGAAAUCCCCGGGCUCAACCUGGGAACUGCAUCUGAUACUGGCAAGCUUGAGUCUCGUAGAGGGGGGUAGAAUUCCAGGUGUAGCGGUGAAAUGCGUAGAGAUCUGGAGGAAUACCGGUGGCGAAGGCGGCCCCCUGGACGAAGACUGACGCUCAGGUGCGAAAGCGUGGGGAGCAAACAGGAUUAGAUACCCUGGUAGUCCACGCCGUAAACGAUGUCGACUUGGAGGUUGUGCCCUUGAGGCGUGGCUUCCGGAGCUAACGCGUUAAGUCGACCGCCUGGGGAGUACGGCCGCAAGGUUAAAACUCAAAUGAAUUGACGGGGGCCCGCACAAGCGGUGGAGCAUGUGGUUUAAUUCGAUGCAACGCGAAGAACCUUACCUGGUCUUGACAUCCACGGAAGUUUUCAGAGAUGAGAAUGUGCCUUCGGGAACCGUGAGACAGGUGCUGCAUGGCUGUCGUCAGCUCGUGUUGUGAAAUGUUGGGUUAAGUCCCGCAACGAGCGCAACCCUUAUUGCCAGUUACUACGUUAAGAGGACUCUGGCGAGACUGCCGUUGACAAAACGGAGGAAGGUGGGGAUGACGUCAAAUCAUCAUGCCCUUUAUGACCUGGGCUACACACGUACUACAAUGGCGUUAAACAAAGAGAAGCAAGACCGCGAGGUGGAGCAAAACUCAAAAACAACGUCUCAGUUCAGAUUGCAGGCUGCAACUCGACUCCAUGAAGUCGGAAUCGCUAGUAAUCGUGGAUCAGAAUGCCACGGUGAAUACGUUCCCGGGCCUUGUACACACCGCCCGUCACACCAUGGGAGUGGGUUGCAAAAGAAGUAGGUAGCUUAACCUUCGGGAGGGCGCUUACCACUUUGUGAUUCAUGACUGGGGUG
rnacentral:rRNA from 1 species